rnacentral:lncRNA from 1 species
CUCGGCAUCCUUUCGUAAGAUGUUCGGAAAUAGUCGUUGCAAUGCAAUAUGUUUGAAUUACAUGAAGUAGAAGGCAUGAUAUUAUCGAAAAAAUAAAAAUCAGCUAAUUUUGAUCCUUUUAUGACUAUGUCUGCGGAUUGUUGUGAUAUAAAUAUGGGAUAUUCGUUGAUGACAAGGUAUUUAUAAAACACAAUCGUACUUUUCUGCCCCCUGUGGAGGGACUGAAAAAGUAUUGUCCGAGGCUACUUAGGGAUGAAAUCGGAAUUUUAGCUUAUCCCACUCUGCAUCUGAAACACAAAACGAAAAAAGAACCUUCGUCACGCGAUAAAAGAAUGGUGAGUAUAAAAUGUAGUACAUAUAUUAUUGUAAAGCUUUGUAUGAUUUUAAGUCUCGGUUGACUUUUUAAUACUUGACCUUGUUGUAUUUUUUCACAGCAAAAAAGAAAUGUCAUAACCAGCCUCGCCAGUCACUCAGAACAACCGCAUACAAAGAAGUCGAAAGGUGAAGAGCAUCCCACCGUUUCUUUUGAUGAAAAUGAACAUCUAGACGACUUUUGUGAUGAAAAUUUUCUUGU